CAACCAUCCCUCCUGGGUCCAGCAGCUAUGGGUUCUUUAGGUGUUCAGGCCUGGGAGGUAAACAAAAGAACGUGACACCCUGAAUUGGAUGAAGAAAUAUCUUGUCUGGAAGAGAAACUGAAAACAGGAAUACUCAGAAAGACUGAAAAUAAGAGGAUGGAGAAAAUAUGUCAAGCAUUUUCUAAAAUUCAACGAGUGCUGACAGACAGGUGUCAACACCGCAACAGAGCUGGGUCAAGGUCGGACGUAUAAUAGAACAGCAGCAGCAGCAGAGGUAGGAGGAAGGAUGUAGCAGCAGCCGAAGGAGACACCGUGAGGCCAGGUCAGGGGCCCAGGAGCCUCCGCGUGGACAGCUUCAGCUCCAUCCAAGCUGCCGGAUUGGAGGGCGCCUGCCCCCAGCAGCAGGUGGCCUUAAA
rnacentral:lncRNA from 10 species